UCCUUCUGAACAGCCGCAAAGUCCUCAGGUGUCAAACUAAUAGUAACACCAUCUUCUGCAGGCACCUGAAGACUUUGCGGCUGUUCAGAAGGA